rnacentral:rRNA from 1 species
CCUACGGGUGGCAGCAGUAGGGAAUCUUUCACAAUGGGCGAAAGCCUGAUGGAGCAACGCCGCGUGCAGGAUGAAGGCCUUCGGGUUGUAAACUGCUUUUAUAAGCGAGAAAUAUGAUGGUAACUUAUGAAUAGGGAUCGGCUAACUACGUGCCAGCAGCCGCGGUCAUACGUAGGAUCCGAGCAUUAUCCGGAGUGACUGGGUGUAAAGAGUUGCGUAGGUGGCAUAAUAAGUAGCUAGUGAAAUCUGGUGGCUCAACCAUUCAGACUAUUAGCUAAAAUGUUAAGCUCGAGACCGUUAGGGGUAACUGGAAUUUCGAGUGUAGGAGUGAAAUCCGUAGAUAUUAGAAGGAACACCAAUAGCGUAGGCAGGUUGCUGGGACGGUUCUGACACUAAGGCACGAAAGCGUAGGGAGCAAACGGGAUUAGAUACCCGGGUAGUC